CAUUCUAAAAAAAAUAAUAAUGCAAUUAUUUUGUGGGCAUGUUAUAUAUCUAUUUAAAAUUAAUAGAAACAGUUUGUAUGAUCUGUUCAAAUUAAAUCAGUGAUUUGAAACUGAUAGUGGAAUUAGUCAUCCCAAUUUGACUUGCUGUCAGACAAAUUUAAGACAUAUCAGGGUCAUGGACUUCCCAUCCACUAUACAUAUAGGCCUAGUAGUCUCAUUGGACUUACCUAAAACGUGCAUGAACUGAAGUGUCAUUCAGAGUAAACUCAUUUUGGAACUAUAUAAACAUUGAUCCAGGUCUGCAUAGUGUAAUUCUCAGAAUGGCAUAUUAAAACCAGUCUGGUCAUUGGUCACACCAUAUAAAUUCUGUAUCUAUCAUGAAUUAUAUUCUGAAAGAGAAAUGAAAUUGUAAAUAAUCAAAGGAUACCAAAGACCUUCCAAUAACCAAAUUACAGGACAAUAAAUAAAUAUUUCUAAUCACUGGUCACUUGUGCUAUCAAAUUAAAUUUUUACUUGUCAAUUGAUAACUCUUACUGUUCCUUCGGACCAAUCUGAUUAAAACCAGCUCCUCGAUCCGCUCCUCGUAUUGCGACAACAUAAAAAUAAAGGAGCGGAUCGAGCUGAUUUUAACAUAAUGCCGACGUUACUUAAGUUAUUUCAGUUUGACCUGCUUUGUACAUAAUAAGAGUGGUUAAACUAUGAGGUGUUACAAAUGAAAUAGCAUUGCUAUGUCUAGCGAGUAUAUAUCUAGUUGAUGCAAAUCGCGGAUUAUCAAGUGCCGGGUAGAAAAUGAAAAUCGUCUUAAGUGUCCGACAAUAGACACAUUUAGACUAGUUAGCCAAUUCCAUUGUCCUACUUUACAAAAGACACAUGAGUUACAUAAUUCAAGAUACCUCUGACUGUUACCCUUGCUUUCUCUAUAUGUUAUGUGCAGUGAAGAUCAUCAGACACAAAUGUGAAAGGGAUAAGAAUCGGAGGAAUUUCGGAUUAUCAGUGAUCAUGACUGGCAUGAAGUCAAAGAAUCUACAAAAUACACUAGUGUGUAAAUCACUUACUUAAUGGUUGGGAGUCUCUUCAGGAUAACACCACAAAAUCCCUCGGGUCCCUGUUGAAGGCUAUUCUUUGUCUGUUCAUAAAGGUUACGGUAUGUCACAACAUCAUAAACAUGGCGUCUGCAUGCUUACUAAGCGCGGGAACUCGGAGUGCACACCCGAUGCUUUUUAUCAGGAACCCGAUCUCAAUUUACCGUUGUUAGAGCCAAGUACUGUGAAGACCCGCUCUGAAUUGAUUGGUUAAUUAAUUAAUAAGUUAACUAGUUUAUAAAAAUAAUAUGAUGAUCUUCAAUAAUUUCCUUCUGCAGGGACAUCUUUUGACAUACAGUGUAUAUCAAUAUUAACCCCCCCCCCCAAAUAAAUAAAAAAAAAAUAAAAAGUCAUAUACAGAUAGAUCUAUAUAUGUAUGUAUUAUGAUAUAUACAGAUUGUUUACCACACACACACAUAUAUAUAAUUUUUUCUUAUGAAAUUGCUGCAGACUAACAAUCAUGUAGCAUUAUCAAGUUCAAAAGAGUAUCUUACUACUAGGUCUCUACAAUUAUUUAUUUUUGAUUGUUAUGUUUUUAAAAAUGGAAAAUAGCUUUCCAUUUAGAGGUUUAGGGAUGGAUCCCUUCAUGUAAUCCUUCAGAUUUUCUUUAAUACUAUAGCUACCUUAAUGGCAGAACAAAAAAAAACCUUUUUAUAGAUAAAUUAAAAUUCAUUAACAUCAACAGGAUUUGCACUAUUUCAUAUAUAUAUAUAUAUAUAUAUAUAUAUAUAUAUUUUUUUUUUUUUUUUAAACAAAAAAUGUCUAAAACAUACAUACAUCAAUAAAAAAAAAAAACAUGCCAGAUUGAAGUUGGGUACAUAAUGCUGGUACAAUUGACUAUAAAAGCUUUCUUAUUUCAAAAUCAGUUGUGAAAUUGUUUAAUGUUUAUUUUCAUAUUAUUUGUAUCUGUUGUGAAAUUACAAGGUUUAUUUAAAUGGGUACAUUUUGGGUACAUUUUCAAUAGUCACAUUUAAAGUUGGUACAUUACGGGUACAAUUUAACUUUUUAAUUUACCCAGGGUACAUAUCUGGUAAACAUUUCAACAUUAAUAUUUUUUGUUGGGUACAUUUCGGGUACAUUUUAACUUUUCAAUUUUUAAUCUGGGUACAUU